GACGAACGCUGGCGGCGUGCCUAAUACAUGCAAGUCGAGCGGACCUCUUCGGAGGUCAGCGGCGGACGGGUGAGUAACACGUAGGCAACCUGCCUGUAAGACUGGGGUAACUCCGGGAAACCGGAGCUAAUACCGGAUAUUAUGUCAAACCGCAUGGUUUGACAUUCAAAGACGGUUUCGGCUGUCACUUACAGAUGGGCCCGCGGCGCAUUAGCUAGUUGGUGAGGUAACGGCUCACCAAGGCGACGAUGCGUAGCCGACCUGAGAGGGUGAUCGGCCACACUGGGACUGAGACACGGCCCAGACUCCUACGGGAGGCAGCAGUAGGGAAUCUUCCGCAAUGGACGAAAGUCUGACGGAGCAACGCCGCGUGAGUGAUGAAGGUUUUCGGAUCGUAAAACUCUGUUGUCAGGGAAGAACAAGUGCCGGAGUAACUGCCGGCGCCUUGACGGUACCUGACCAGAAAGCCACGGCUAACUACGUGCCAGCAGCCGCGGUAA
rnacentral:rRNA from 1 species